rnacentral:rRNA from 1 species
UUUUAUGGAGAGUUUGAUCCUGGCUCAGAGUGAACGCUGGCGGCGUGCCUAAUACAUGCAAGUCGAACGAUGAAGCUUCUAGCUUGCUAGAAUGCUGAUUAGUGGCGCACGGGUGAGUAACGCAUAGGUCAUGUGCCUCUUAGUUUGGGAUAGCCAUUGGAAACGAUGAUUAAUACCAGAUACUCCCUACGGGGGAAAGAUUUAUCGCUAAGAGAUCAGCCUAUGUCCUAUCAGCUUGUUGGUAAGGUAAUGGCUUACCAAGGCUAUGACGGGUAUCCGGCCUGAGAGGGUGAACGGACACACUGGAACUGAGACACGGUCCAGACUCCUACGGGAGGCAGCAGUAGGGAAUAUUGCUCAAUGGGGGAAACCCUGAAGCAGCAACGCCGCGUGGAGGAUGAAGGUUUUAGGAUUGUAAACUCCUUUUGUUAGAGAAGAUAAUGACGGUAUCUAACGAAUAAGCACCGGCUAACUCCGUGCCAGCAGCCGCGGUAAUACGGAGGGUGCAAGCGUUACUCGGAAUCACUGGGCGUAAAGAGCGCGUAGGCGGGAUAGUCAGUCAGGUGUGAAAUCCUAUGGCUUAACCAUAGAACUGCAUUUGAAACUACUAUUCUAGAGUGUGGGAGAGGUAGGUGGAAUUCUUGGUGUAGGGGUAAAAUCCGUAGAGAUCAAGAGGAAUACUCAUUGCGAAGGCGACCUGCUGGAACAUUACUGACGCUGAUUGCGCGAAAGCGUGGGGAGCAAACAGGAUUAGAUACCCUGGUAGUCCACGCCCUAAACGAUGGAUGCUAGUUGUUGGAGGGCUUAGUCUCUCCAGUAAUGCAGCUAACGCAUUAAGCAUCCCGCCUGGGGAGUACGGUCGCAAGAUUAAAACUCAAAGGAAUAGACGGGGACCCGCACAAGCGGUGGAGCAUGUGGUUUAAUUCGAAGAUACACGAAGAACCUUACCUAGGCUUGACAUUGAGAGAAUCCGCUAGAAAUAGUGGAGUGUCUGGCUUGCCAGACCUUGAAAACAGGUGCUGCACGGCUGUCGUCAGCUCGUGUCGUGAGAUGUUGGGUUAAGUCCCGCAACGAGCGCAACCCCCUUUCUUAGUUGCUAACAGGUUAUGCUGAGAACUCUAAGGAUACUGCCUCCGUAAGGAGGAGGAAGGUGGGGACGACGUCAAGUCAUCAUGGCCCUUACGCCUAGGGCUACACACGUGCUACAAUGGGGUGCACAAAGAGAAGCAAUACUGCGAAGUGGAGCCAAUCUUCAAAACGCCUCUCAGUUCGGAUUGUAGGCUGCAACUCGCCUGCAUGAAGCUGGAAUCGCUAGUAAUCGCAAAUCAGCCAUGUUGCGGUGAAUACGUUCCCGGGUCUUGUACUCACCGCCCGUCACACCAUGGGAGUUGUGUUUGCCUUAAGUCAGGAUGCUAAAUUAGCUACUGCCCACGGCACACACAGCGACUGGGGUGAAGUCGUAACAAGGUAACCGUAGGUGAACCUGCGGUUGGAUCACCUCCUUUCUAGA